CUUCGGAAAUUGUCAUGGUUAUGAUCAGUUGUUCAAGAAUUGAGCAGUUAGAAUAGUUUCUCUUUUGACAUGAUGAAUUGAGCAGAGAAUAGUUUUUCUUUUGAUAAGAAUUGCAGUUUCAUUUCAUUAUUUUCUUAUUGAAGAUCCAAAGUAGAACUUCCAAGAAAUUCAGGAAGUUCCAUAAAAAUUAGGUCAUGUGAUAAGAAUUUCGUCACAAAGGAGAAGAGACAACAUCGGUUAUGGUAUGACAAACGGACGCAAGAGUCCGAAGAAAAAGGGAUGCAAGAGUUGAAGCGACAGAUAAAAUAGGAAGAAAACCUAAUAGUACCAGGGAAAGUGUAUUCCGAAAAUUACCGCCCUAUUUUUUAAGGUGGUGUUUAAGUCCGCGUCCACUCUACCUUCCCAGUGUGGUGGAAUUAUACUGGGCUUGUUAUUGUUAUUGUUAUUGUUUAGAGUUCCUCCAUUAGCACCAAAUUGGUCACUACGAAGAGCGGAUUUAGGGAUUUGCAUAAUUCGGUAACCCAGUGGUACCGACCCUCAAUCAAUUCAUACAAAAUGGGGGGAAAACCCCAACUUUACCGACAAGAAGAAAUCAAUGGUUGCUAAGAGAUUUCUCGGAUUUCUUAUGAACAUGAGUCAAAGUAGAUAUAGAGAUAAAGCUUCUCCGCUACAUCUUUAGCAUAUUUUGGAAUCAUCUUAUGGAUACACAAAACAUCCCUGAAAGCACACUAGAUACCCCUGCACAAUCUAGGAAUUCAUCGAUGGAGGCAAACACUACAGAUUGUCAUGCACACCUAACCCCCCAAAUAAUUGUCCAGUAACAAGACUACCUCCCGUCCCCCAAGAACCGGUGUACGUGCAUCUGUCAUAAGUGCGGAUUGAAUAAAUGAGGAUGAAGCGAGCACAACUAAGAAUCGAAAUUUACAGAGGAAUUGGACAAAAUUGAACAUACACUGAAUAAUGUUUCCUAAUCUGUUGGUUUACCUACAAAAAUAAUGCUAACUCAUGUAUGUCUUUUGAUUUACUUUUUGUUGCGUUGUACCUUCACAUCUUUCUCUUUUUGACCGUGUUUGUUAGAAGCACGACUUGCUGAUUUAUUAAAGGGACAAUUGAUCCUUUUUAUUACAA